rnacentral:rRNA from 1 species
GAUGAACGCUGGCGGCGUGCUUAAGACAUGCAAGUCGAACGGAGUGUGUAGCAACACUCACUAAGUGGCGAAUGGGUGAGUAACACGUAGGUGACCUGCCCUGAAGUGCGGAAUAACAGUCCGAAAGGAUUGCUAAUACCGCAUGUGGUCCCGGGCGUUAGAGAACCGGGUACUAAAGCAGUAAUGCGCUUCAGGAGGGGCCGUCGCGGUCCAUCAGCUAGUUGGUAGGGAAUGCCUACCAAGCAACGACGGAUAGGGGACCGUGAGAGGGUGGGCCCCCGACCC